rnacentral:misc_RNA from 1 species
AUGACCAGGAUCAGGUUCAAUAAUAGGCAACGCCUGCUGAAAAUUGUCAACUGAUAGAGCCCCGGAUGCGAAAAGGCAGAGAAGAAGCGAAAAUACCAAAAUCCAAUGAGAAAUCUCAUAAUUGAAAGAUUGCCAAAAAUGAUUAUUGCUCAGCUCUACCUCCCAAAUGCAGCUAAGUCAGGGACAUGAAACGUAUGGAACCUUACAGACAACGCACUUAUUCAUGAGAAGAACAAAUUGGUUUUUUGAAUAAAUUGGCGGUAAGAGUAACGGGAUCCUAACCGUUAAGAAUCUCGCAACCACAGUUGGUUUUCGCAACUAAAAGCAGAGGAUCCUAACCGCCUUGGAAAAAAGUCUUCGUCUUUUUCAAUUCACAUGGGAGAAAAUUGGAGUUUUAGGGUGAAUUAUUGUAAACAAAGUAUACGUGACUCUAGGCCUUUGUUUGGAUGUGUGGAA